rnacentral:lncRNA from 1 species
UAAUAUGGUUGAUUUAUUUAGGGUUUACAGUGAAACUUUAGAUCACCUUGAGCAUUAGGGUCAAGGGGAUGAAUUAUACGGUAACCAUAUACCAAUAGGUUUAUGAAUGAUGCUUUGCAAUCUUUCGACCUAUCCAGACGUCGGAUCCCAUUACUAGAUAGUUCCAUUGAUUGGUUCAGAAAGUCAUUCUUGUGCUACCGGCUUAUAUUCGAAUCAUACUCAAAAGAAAUUUCUGACUGAUUAUGUGGC